GGGGGCUCAUGACAGGAUGCAGCUAGAAACUGCUAUGACCCCAUUGUUGCCGGGUGGAUGUUCGUCUGUAAACCCGACCCGGCACUUUGUAACCAGUAGGGUUCUGUAAGCCCAUGCUCUUGAAUAUGCAUGAGGAGAAGGCCUUUAAAAACGGAGGAGAGGAAGAGGACGAGGCUUGCCCUUGUUUUUCCGACCUGGCGGUCUCGCCCGCGGGACUCCACGACAUCUUUUUGAACCCUUUUUGAACAUUCUUUCUCAUUCUUUUUGAUACAUUAUAACCCAUCGUUUUUGUAAAACCUUAAUAAAACCGGAUUUGUAUUUUGUGCAACUCCAACCAAACUCCAGUCUCGCUCCAUCUCUAAGAAAGAGCCCUAGCCAGCCUUAAGUGACUGUGCAGCUACUAGUUGAGAGGUGCGGAGGUGAGUCUUACUUCAGGAUUUUAUCCUUGGGCACAGUGUAUGGUUGGAUCUCCACUGGAAGCUGCUCCUUGUUCUCCCGUGUAAUGAUCUAGAGAAACGCAGACAGCGGGAAAUCAGAUUCUCUCCUGUGAUUUGAGGGUGGGGAACAACCUCUCACAAGGCUCGGUGGUUGCAGGGGUUGACAGCCCGACAUGUGCUGUUUCUCUCUUCGACCAGCACUGCAGCGGACACCCCUCCAUGUCCAUUUUGGGCUCUGCUUUGUAACGGUCUAUAAUAUAAAUUCUUAAUUUAGGAACUUUGCUCUAUAGGUUUCUGCUGUGUCUGCAAUUUCCUUUUGCUCAUCAAACAUGACCUUUGCUCUGCCAAACAUGUUGUUCGACUAGUAUGAACCGACGAACCCCAUGAGGACACGCCAAUCAAACAGUACGCCCCCACAGCCUCUGCAGGGAGAGGACAAGGUUUGCCUCUUAGCAAACAGUCGUACGGUGCCUACAAAAGAGGAGUAUAAAAGACAAAGGAGUUCUCAGGCCCUGAAGCCAUCCCUGGUACUCAGCUGAAUAGUACUGCUUUGACUCCGUCGGCCUGUUUUUGCUGGCCUGACUAAUUUUUUAAACUCAACUGAUUCUGUAAUAAACUACCUGAAACUCAGUCGAGUGUAAUACUUUUAUUUCUCACGACGGAAACAAUACACUAAUUUCCACUACACGGACCACACAUUGUUCUAUGGACUCUUCCUCUUCAUCUGUAUCCGUGUCAGAAGAACUCAGCAAGAAGACAGACAUCCUCUUCUUUGGCGGCUGUUCCUCUGCUGUCUCUGCAGAUGGUUGUUGUGCAUCACCAGGUUGCGUACUGAAGCCCACACCUCACUCCUUUCAGCUUUGGGCAGACACUUCAGGUCCUUAAACCUGGGGUCAAGUGCAGUAGCCAUCUUCAGCCAUGUGAGGAUGGUGCUGUCCCUCUGUUUAGCUUGGUCUGUGGUAAAGACUUUUUAUAACUUGCUGUCCUCUUCAUUCCUGAGAGUUUGAUGGACUGUGCUCGAAGUCCCAGGCAAUCUUGAAUCCACUGUGGUGAAGGGAAACUGUGACUGUGGGCCGUGCAGGGCAGGUGUUCGGAUGGAAGUAGUCUCGCGGCUGCGACCAACGUUACGAGCACUGUCAGUGCCGAGAGUGGUUAACUUUGCCUCGAUUUGCCAUUCUUUUGCGAAUCUAAAGAAAAUGAUCAGCACAUGCCUCAGCAUGGUGUCGCUCUUCUGUUUUACUCAGUCAGAUUCCAUUCUUUAUCAAUGAAGUGCGCUCUGACGCCCAAGUACUUGUCAUUGCUCACAGAAGUCCAAGGGUCCCCUGGAGAGCGACGCGCUCUCUCGCUGUCAUACGUGUGUAUUCUUGACAUGAGGGUUCCUCUCGGGGGCAGAUUAUAAGAGGUGUCUCCCGAUGCAAUUUGAAUGAUUUCUCUCAUUUAAUCCAGUAAGCCAAAGCAUUCGUUACCUUCUCACUUACACUUGUUGGCCCUGUAGUUUCGGUAGGAUGUUUUGCCUUGAGGGUGAUAUUUCAAAGACAAAUUAAUUCUGUGGUAAUAAAAUUCGGCUUUGCAAACUGUGCAAAUACAUCUGUUCUCUCCAAAGAUCCGUCGGGCUACUUUUUAAAGUAUCCGUAUCCAUCUUUAGCCAGAAUAGGUUAGGUCACUGAGGGACUUUUUAUUGUUAUUAAAUGUAUUACUGAUCAAUAUUAAAGAGAUAGUUCAGUGAUUUCUAAGUGGGGUUGUAUGAGUUACUUACACAUACACAUAGGUCAGCCACCACAGGAAGUAAACAAAACGCAGCUGUGUGUGUGAAUGUGUGCAGUAAACUGCAGUGUUGUAUGAAUGUGUGUGAAUGUGACUUGAGUGGUCAAUAAGGCUAGAAAAGUGCUCACCUCAUAGUACGAGUCUGGGGGUUCAGUGGUGGCACUGCUGACUCCUUGUAGAUCAGUAGGUAUCCAUGGUAACAGGCGGCAUUGCCUCAGCAGGGGGUUGAUCUCUCCAUAUGUGUAAUCACGGGUUACUUCAUCUGUGGAGAAAUAAUCCUGAUAUGUAAAAUGUUGUGGCACGAACACACACACACACACACAGACACACGCACACGCACACGCAGGGCAUGUAGAGGGCAUUUGAUGGGCAUGUA